GUUCGCGCUGAAGGCCUGUUUCCUAGGCUACAUACGGGGACUUGUUCCUCAUCUUCUCGCCUAGGGGAAAGUCCCCGGACCUCCGGCAGAGAGUGCCGCGUGCGCAUGCACGUAGACUCACCCCGCCCCCCACGGCUAGUCCGCCAAGAAGCUCCCUGCUGGACAGGGCGCCGAGCGUUGUGGUGCGGGGCGUCGUCCGUCACGGUCACAGUUACGCAGGCAGCGCGCCCCGCGCGCCAACCACACGGGGCUCAUUCUCAGCGCGGA
rnacentral:RNase_MRP_RNA from 13 species